AUUGAACGCUGGCGGCAUGCCUUACACAUGCAAGUCGAACGGUAACAGGCCUUCGGGUGCCGACGAGUGGCGAACGGGUGAGUAAUGCAUCGGAACGUACCUUUCAGUGGGGGAUAACGUAGCGAAAGUUACGCUAAUACCGCAUAUUCUGUGAGCAGGAAAGCAGGGGAUCGCAAGACCUUGCGCUGAUUGAGCGGCCGAUGUCAGAUUAGCUAGUUGGUGAGGUAAAGGCUCUCCAAGGCGACGAUCUGUAGCGGGUCUGAGAGGAUGAUCCGCCACACUGGAACUGAGACACGGUCCAGACUCCUACGGGAGGCAGCAGUGGGGAAUUUUGGACAAUGGGGGCAACCCUGAUCCAGCCAUGCCGCGUGAGUGAAGAAGGCC
rnacentral:rRNA from 1 species